GGGACACAUGCUACCUGCUUACUGGACAGUGACUACUUAGGAUAAGGACUCAGGCAAGUAAGGUUGCAUUUUAGUCUCUCAGAUAUGGGGGGAAAAUUUUGGUGACAUUGGAGAGAGAGAUAAAUGAAAUAUUUUAUUAAAUUUAGAAUUUAAUGUAAAGUAGCAUAUACAGAGGCAAGAAACAGAAUAAUGUGUUUUAUGGUUGUCAGCUACCAUCUUUAAUUGGUGAGUGACCAUUUCAUUUGUACUGUUACUUUUCUUAAGAGACAAACAAAAUUUUCUAAGUGUUUGUAGAUGUAAUGACUAUGGAAACAAAACCUUAUUUUUGUUAGCAAUUAACACAUUGCCAGAAGAAAUGAGAGCAUUAACAGAUUUUGGAACAAAUACCAUAUUAACAAUCAAAAGAAAAUGACUUUUAUACGUGUUAAGCUGCAAAUUCUGGGAGGAGAAUGUGUAGACGUCUAUGUAUAUAUGUGUUAAUUAACUAACAUGGGGAAAUAAAGAAACAUAAACAAAAGUAAAUACAGAUGAACAAAACUUAUCUAAAAAGUGAGUUUCAAACUGGUUGUGUUACUUAGUUUAUUAUGAUAUUUUAAAUAACCAAUAAACAUUAACAGUGUUGAUGUUUCUGGUUAAUUCAUCAUUUACUUUGAUUGGACAAGGACAUAUUAAAAUAGGCUGGCUGAUUUGUGGUACUGUCUGUUUGCUGAAAAUAUCUGUAUUAUAGUUCUUCCAAAGGAACUAGAAACUACAGAGCCCCAAGCGACACUGGAUUUGUAGUCCUCUGAAAGUUGUCACCGAUAAUGGAGAUAAACUUGUUCUUAUAGUAGUAGCAACAUGAUAUUUUAUUCAGUUUAUAAUAUCCUUAAAAAUUAUCUUGAAAAUAAAAUAUUUAUCCUUCAGGUUUUUCAUAAAUUCAGUGACAAAAUUCUCCUUUCUGUGCUAGCUAUAUAAAUUGUGCCAAUUUAUGUUGACAUUCCAUUUAUGAGUGAAGUCCCACAAAGUUUUUGCUGGUUUUUCAAAAUGUCAAUCUCUACAUUUAUAGACACCUUAGGGAUAUUUUCUUAUACAUCCCACUAGCUAGUGAACUAAAACUCUCUAUUCUUGCAUCAUAGGUAUUCACUGAACUCUAUCUUUUCUCUUCUUUUUUACAUUAUACUGUCAAUGUCUACUAGAUUCACAGCUACUCUUUUCAAAAAAAAA
rnacentral:lncRNA from 1 species